GAAUCAGCGCGCUGGUCGUGCCUCUGGUAUGCACUGGUGCUACUGAUUUCUCCCUUCUGAAGAACUAUCAUGCCAUUAAUUUGGUGUGGUAGGGAAUCAGGACUGUUACUUUGAAAAAAUUAGAGUGUUUAAAGCAGGCUCACGCUUGAAUACAUUAGCAUGGAAUAAUGAAAUAGGACGUUGAUCUUAUUUUGUUGGUUUCUAGGAUUGACGUAAUGAUUAAUAGGGAUAGUUGGGGGCAUUAGUAUUCAAUUGUCAGAGGUGAAAUUCUUGGAUUUAUUGAAGACUAACUACUGCGAAAGCAUUUGCCAAGGAUGUUUUCAUUAAUCAAGAACGAAAGUUAGGGGAUCGAAGACGAUCAGAUACCGUCGUAGUCUUAACCAUAAACUAUGCCGACUAGGGAUCGGAUGAUGUUAAUUUUUUAAUGACUCAUUCGGCGCCUUACGGGAAACCAAAGUGUUUGGGUUCCGGGGGGAGUAUGGUCGCAAGGCUGAAACUUAAAGGAAUUGACGGAAGGGCACCACCAGGGGUGGAGCCUGCGGCUUAAUUUGACUCAACACGGGAAAACUCACCAGGUCCAGACAUAGUUAGGAUUGACAGAUUGAGAGC
rnacentral:rRNA from 1 species